rnacentral:lncRNA from 1 species
UUUCUUUGAAAUGUAACACCUUUGAGGAGGAACAACACUUCUAAAUGCUUCGGAAGAAGUAGCGAGUCCCCCCACACGCACGCACCCCGCAUGUUGCAGGCUGCAGCUCCUUUUCACGCGCACACAUGAGACCUUUCAAAGGAGGGAGAAACCGUCUGUGAGCAACAUGAGAUAAGCGAAGAAGCAGCGCCCUUACAAGAUAGCAUCGACCUAAGCGGUGCGCAGAUGCAGGCACCACUUUCGCGCUGGAGAUAACAGUGCAACGAAGGGCAGAAUUAAACGCAUCUGUGUUCUCACUGAGCACAACGAGCACAAAAGAAAAGGCUGUCAGCACCUCAGUCCUCCAGGACACACAAAGCCUGAGCUGCUAUGCUGAUUAUUUGGUCUCUUCCAGGCUCCCCGCACAUCUCUCUUCAGAAGAACUGGACCCCACGCCUCUGCACCUACUGUGUAUGCAUAUUUU